rnacentral:tRNA from 1 species
GGCGCAGUGGCAGAGUGGUCUAAUGCGAUAGACUAGAACAUCUCUUCCUGAAGAGGUUUCUAGCGUAUCUAUUCCCUUCGGGGGCGUCUGUUCGAAUCAGGCCUGCGUCG